UGUGAAGGUUCAGGUGAUGUACACGGUGUACCAUGUGAAGGUUCAGGUGAUGUACACUGUGUACCGUGUGAAGGGUCAGGUGAUGUAGAUUUUGUAUGUAUGGUGAUGCUCAGGUGAUGUAUCAAGUGAUGCCAUUGAAGAAAUUAGACUGAUGUUUUUAUCAUUGUACAUGUGUAAUUUAUGUUGACUUCAUCUCAGGUUCCCUAAACCAACCAUUGUCAGUAGGUGCAAAUCAUUACCAACUUGUCGAGUUUUUUAUAGAAGAUGUACUCUCUUACAGCUGGUGUACUCUCUCACUCUCUUACAGCUGGUGUACUCUCUCACAGCUGGUGUACUCUCAAAGAGGAUGUACUCUCACAGGGCUGUUCUCUCUUACAGCUGGUGUACUCUUAUAGAGGGUGUACUCUCACAGCUGAUGUGCUCUUAAAAGAGGGUGUACUGUCUUACAGCUGGUGUACUCUUAAAGAGGGUGUUUUCUCUCAGAGCUGGUGUACUCUCUUAUAGAGGGUGUACUGUCUCACAGGGUGUACUCCCACAGUGGUCCAAUCACACGGUCAGUGACACCAAUACUGAUGAUUGAUAGACGUCCCAUGUAGGUCCUCAGAUUUUUCACUUCUUAAAUUUCAACAUGAAACUUAAACCCAGAAUAUUUUGUUUACAAUAAUCUUUCAACAUCAGCUUGUUAAUUUUUCUGGAUGAUAUGUAUGAUACAGUGACCUCUGUUUGUAACACAUGCCAUAUCACAAUGUCCCAAUGUUAUUAGAGUGUACAGAACUCAUCCUGCACUGUGUAUAGCCAUGCCACGCUCAUGUACGUCUCAUUUGUACAAUAAAACAUUGAACAUGG